GCUUAAGCAGGAGUCCCUGGUAGAAAGACUGAAAAAUCCCUUCCCCGCUCGAUGGUGGAUUCAUAUCCUGUGCGGCCUCUAGGAAGCGCUAGACACAUCUAUCUUGGGAGGCAUACAUUUUUACCUAGACUUUUCGUGGAAGGAAAUGGUCCCAGAAAGUUCAUGCGUCUUGCUUGGGGUAUACAGACAGCUGGAAAGUGAGCUCAGGCUUGCUUCAGAAAGUCACACAUCUUCCCAUGUCACCUGACAAUACAAGGGACUUCAAGGACAUACAGAAGAACAGAGUCCUUGGUCUCUGAAUGACCCUGUGGAAGGAUACUCACUGGCCAGAAGUAGUCCUUCCAGACUUUGAAUGACAAAUCAACUUCAUUGUGCUGGUCCACUGGGAUUUUGGAGUAAAGAUGGCAAUAUCUUCUAAUUCCACUUGGUGUUUAGGAUGCCCUUCAUAAGAAGAAACCCUGGGUCAAAGUUGAGGCUUAUGUUCUGGCUUUCCCAGCUUGAAAAGAAAGAAACUUGUAUACUGUCACCUUCCUAUUGAGGGUGCAAACUUCAUGAGGUAUGUUAGUUGUGAUCCUAUCACCUGGCCCUUGAAAGAAGUCCUCUGGAAGAGCUGAGGCACAGAGAUGAUUCCCAGUGAAGCACUCAGGAAGCUGAGACAGAAGGAUAGCUACAAGUUUGAGGCCUGCCUGGUAUACACAGUGAAUGCAGUGUCUCCAAACAAACAGUGAACACAGCAAUGAAAAUAUGGAGCAUUUAACCAGAGUACUCAUUGCCUGGCACAGCAGGGAAGUCUACAGCCAUGCAGCUUAUGCCACUUCCGAUAGGACACUAAUAGUGAGCAAAAGCCAAAGGCCACUUCAUGAUGGCCAUCUGCUUAUAUCCUUGUCAUAAAGUCCCAGAGUUCCGGAAGGCUCGGGUGCCUAUGACAAGCAGGGAUCUCCUAACCAAAUGGUCAUUCUGGGCAAGGUUUGUCUACACUUUGAGAAAAUCAUCUGUCACUGAAAUGCCCAGCUGUAGUUAAGUGAGUAACACAAUAACUUAGUGGCCAAAAAUGGAAUGAAAGGCCAGGUGUCAUGGGCGGACCCUGAGUCUUUGUUUCUUUGGAUAACCCAGCCAUCAAGUAUGCAGGUCAGUUGGUGAUGUUCACCAGGCUCUGAAAAGUUGUUUAGAAACUGUAGCGGCAUCGUUUACAUCUUCCACUGCGUCCUCACCCCACAGAGAACCAACACUGGAGCUCUGAAGCAAAUCACUCAGUGAUCCAAAACAUUAAAGAAAAGAGCAGGAUAGGUGACUCAGCAGUUAAGAGCACCGGCUGUUCUUGCAAAGGACCCAGGUUUGGUCCCGAGCUCACAGCCCCCUGUAACUCCAGCUCUGUGGGUUCUGACACCUUCUGGCCUCCACAGGCAUGGGGUAUGCAUAUGGUGGUUUUGGACAAAAUCCAGGGCAGAGGUAAGGAAGGGAGAGAGGAGAGAGAAUGCAGGGAGGGAUGGAGGGAGAGAGAGGGGGAGAGAGGGAGAGACGGAGAGAGAUCGAGAUUAAUUUCCUUAAAAUGUUGGCCAGGAAAUCAGGCAUGCUCUAAUUUGCAUACUCUUCCAAGUAAUUUAGAAAGUAUGGCUCAAUAUAGCUUAUGAGAAUCAAUCAUACACUCCCCACACAAAUGUCUUAGUCAGUGAUUUGCCAGGAUUAAAAGUUCUAUUUCUCAAUUUUCAGUCACUCACCCUGAGCCUCUCGAUUUUAUGUGUCCACUUACAUAUCUAAAAAUCUAAAUAAUUCUUCUCUUUGCAUGUCUUGCCUUUUCAAAG
ensembl:lncRNA